UAUUCUCUUGGUGGCCCACAGGGCCCCCUGGCGAGUCCCUCCGGCGCUGCACGACUGCACAAGCAGCUUCAGGGCGGGGGCUUCGAGGGCUAGCGGAGCUACUGUGCUUCUAAAAAAGGCCAGCUAGAAUGGAGGUGCUGUGUGGAGUCAGACCGGGCUAUGGCUUCUUCUUCUAGAUUGGGAAACUACACUUUUUAUAGGAAACUAGCCCUUCCUUCUCACAGGCCGAGCACGUGGAGAAGGCUUGUCACUCAGGGUCUUCCCUAAGGAGCCUUGGGAAGCUGUAUUCCAGGAAAGCCUACAUGUUCUCUGAAGCUCCUCCUUGAGGAAAUCAGUUAACGGUUGCUUCAAGAGGAAACAGAUCGAUAUAUUGAAAGCGAAACACUAAGUACUGCUACCGCUUAGAGCACACCCCUAUGCAUAUUUACUCAGAAGUUAGUGCCGUUAUGCUCAAGGAAGCUUAAGUUCCAGGCAUUUCUGUUAUUUCAAAAAGAGUUCAACACUGCACAUCUACGCAUAAAAGUCCAUGGACCAAAUGUAUGUUUAAAGGUUUAAAUAUGCCCAUAGUGAAGAAAGUGAGAGACCUCUCUUUUGGCCAUAUGAAAUUAAAACAUCUAUUUGUUAUAAAGUUACCAAUAUUUCAAACAUAUGAAAUCCUCAAACCUCAGAUAAAUUAAGAGUCGUGCUCAUAGCAGCAAUUUAUUUCUGUAUCAAUUCUGUGAGAGAAAAUAGAUGGGUUUCAUUCUGAGGGGAAGGAAAAUCUGCUCUUUCUCAGCCUUUGUCCUUCACCUACAAUAUGGGGAUGGUAACUGACCUACCUUAAAGGGUUACAGUAUGGGCAGUUUACGCAACAUGCUUUGAACUCCUAUAUAACUGCAGUGUAUUAUUCUUAGCAGCAGGAUAGCUUUAUCUAUCACUUGCAGUGUUGCCUUACUCUCAUGCCUUUAACAGCAUCAUGAUACACAAAAAAUAUAAAAGUGAGGAUUUUGCUGUCCCUUCAGCUCCAAUGUCAGGAAAACCAGAUUGCUGUUAACAGGGAAAGAAGAAAAUAAGUACUAGUGGCAAUCUCGCUUCUUUGGUACAGUAUAGUGGUGAUCUAUGCCCAGAAGAGAACUAUGCUUCAAAAGCAGAGAUACUAGCAAAAUUUCCUGGACUACAUUGGAACCUAUUAUUAUAUUCUGUCCAUAAUUUAUUGUACAUUAAAAAGUCAGGGAAAGUACCAUGCAAUUGCACUGAGCAAAAGACUCUACCUUUCGUGUACAAAUGCCCGAAUGGUGUCAGAGUACAGAAAAACUGCAGAAGUCACUGUAGUUAAGAAAAUUUGAAUCGAAAGAAUGCUGUAGACUUUGCGCAGAAAAGCUAAGAUAUGGAAAACAAAACAACAAAUUAACAUGGCAUAAUACGUCCUCAAUUUUUUAAAGACUUUACCCCCAAAUCAAGUAACAAGUAGGAAAAAUAAUACAUAUUUUAACAAAGUAUAGAAACAAAAAAGAACACAUUAGUGAAAUCUGAAGAGAAAGAAAUGUAUGCACUGGAAUGAAAGAAGUGGGUCUUUGAAGCAGGGCUGUGGAGUCGGUACGCCAAACCUUCGACUCCGACUCUUCUUUUUUUUCUACUGUCCGACUCUACCCAAAAUUGCUUCUGACUCCACAACUCCGACUCUGACUCCACAGCCCUGGAAAGGGCUGUAAAUGUCUUUUUAAAUUGGAAGCUCUCAUAAGAGCAUCUUUAUCGCUGCCUGAAUAUGCGCUGAUCUUGGCAUCACAGCAUUUGUCUUCAUCUGGGUCCUGUGUCAUACACUGACACACAAAAUGUUUUCCAUCUUGAGUUAUGGUGAAAUGCUCAAAUACAGCUGACUUCAUGGGAAGCUUCUUUGACAUUUUGAAUUUAUAUUUUAAAAAAAUUGUCAAUCAAAAUUUAUUUUGAAGCCGGAGUCGGUACAUUUCUACCGACUCCACCCAAAAUUGCUUCUGACUCCGACUCCACAGCCCUGCUUUGAAGGGCAGCCACAGGUUAAUAUCAUGCUCAUUUAGCAUUGCCAACAUUAUGCAUCAGGGAGCACGAGUAGCCCAAGUAACUAUUUCCCUGCAAAAACAGUUCCAACACUUCAUAAAUGAAAUGUUUGUUAUGUUCACAUAAAUGGCUGACCAAUGAAUUAUUAUGGACUUCCUCCUGCACCUUACAUCUACUUAUAUGCUUACAAUGGGUAUUCAUGUUGCCCCAGAACAAGAAUCACCUAUGCAAAGAACAGUGCUGGAUCUGCUGUUGGUUCAAGGGCUUCUUCUGCCACUCUAACAACUCCUUGCAGUGUUGACAUCAUUUUUCCUAGCGCUACUUCUGUGACUUCAGCAGCAUCUAAAAAAAUCCAGUAUGGCAGGGGGAGGCAGGGUAGGUUUUGCUGGAGGGCAAAGAGAGAGUAGCCCCCUUCAUGCAUGGGGCAUCAUGACUAGAAAUGGGCUAAUCAGCCCCACAUAGCCUUUCUAAGCAUGAAGUCCUGUUAUGUGAUUCACAUACAAAGGGGACUACUGUUAUCUUAUUCAACUCAAAGAUGUAAUUCCAUGCUCACAUCCAACAAUUCUAAGGGUUUCACAUGCAAGAUAAGGAGUGGGAGGAUGUUGGGGAAGAGACAGUAAUUUAAGCAAACUCAAGAAGAUUAUACCUUCCUCCCAAGGUGGGGCUGGUUCAGAGCUUGGAAAAGUUACUUUUUUGAACUACAACUGCCAUCAGCCCCAGCCAGCAUGGCCACUGGAUUGGGCUGAUGGGAGUUGUAGUUCAAAAAAGUAACUUUUCCAAGCUCUGGGCUGGUUGUUAUAGCGAUAAGGAAAGACCAGAGAAAAACUUGCUAUCUGUCUUCACAUUUCAUUUAGGAUCUCCAUUUUAUGCUCUUAAGAGUGGUAAAAAACCCCAACAUGUUGGCAUAUAAAUAAAUAGUGCAACAUGUAUCUGUAUUAAACUGUGU